GACAUAUUGAUGGCAGCUAGGAUAUUUUUGGAUCCUUUUGUAUUCGUUUGACAUGCCUGUGACACGUGUCUUUCAGUGCUAUCCUAGAGAGAGAAUUUUCAUUGAUAGGGCUUGAUUGCAUCUUAUUACCUACCAUACUAAAAUAUGUCAAAUUCAUGUAAAUUGAUCCAUUGUUUAAUUUAUAAUCCUAUUUAAAUUGCUGUAUUGAUGAUUCCUUAGGCAUGUGAAGACAAAGCCUGUACCAUGGAUUCUGUGUGUCAAAUCUUGAUUCGACAAGAUAGAGAUGGAUGCUAUACAAAAGAGAAAAAGAAGGCAUAUGAAACAAUGAAACCAGAGAGAGUAUCAAAGGAGGAGAUACUUCGUUUAAUGGAAGAAAAGAACCAACUGAAAGAAGUGGUUGUCAAUGAUGAAUAGGGAGCUACUCUAAGGAGGAUGGAAUCUGAACGCUUGAUUGAAGACACAGCUUGAUACUCAACAGAUGCAGUUUCUUGCACUGAAUUAGAAGGCAUGUGAAGACAAAGCCUGUACAAUAGAUUCUGUAGGUCAAAUCCUGAGUCGACAAGAUAAAGAUCGAUGCUAUACAAAAGAGAAAAACAAAGCAUAUGAAGCAAUGAAACCAAAGAGAUUAUCAAAGGGGGAGAUACUUUGUCUAAUGGAAGAAAAGAAACAACUGAAAGAAGCAUGUGAAGACAAAGCCUGUACAAUGGAUUCUGUAGGUCAAAUCCUGAGUCGACAAGAUAAAGAUCGAUGCUAUACAAAAGAGAAAAACAAAGCAUAUGAAACAAUGAAACCAAAGAGAUUAUCAAAGGAGGAGAUACUUUGUCUAAUGGAAGAAAAGAAACAACUGAAAGAACUGCUUCAAAAGCCGAAGGUGCUGAGAUGAAAAAUUAUAAGAAGGAGAUGCAGAAGUGGGAAAUGGGGAAACAUACUCUAAAAUCCAUUGUAGCUGAAAUUGACAAAAAAGUGGUUGAAUUGGGAUCAAUUGGAGGACAUCUGGUCACAAGGUUUGCGGAGAAAGGAGUUACAUAUUGCACAAUGUCAAACCCCAUGGAAAGAACUACUACAGUAGUUCCUGAAGAAACUUAUGUGGUAAUUGUCCUUCCCCUAUUGGUGAACGUUUUUAUGAAGAUUUUCUAUGUUCUCAUUCAUUCAAUUACCAUGAAUGCUAUUUUAAUACCACUUUGCACACAUGUGGUGUAUAAAUAUGUGAAUUAACUAGAAUUGUUCCUCUUAUCUCUGUUUUCUGAUUUCUCUUAAAAAUAAUUGUUUUUUGGCUCUUGUUUCUAGUUUUUACAUUCUGAAUCCUAGUUGUGUCUACUAUUAUGUUUUGAUGUCGAAUGACAAAGGAUAAAGGGGAAGAACUCAUUUGAGGCUCUUUUGGUUCCCUAAAAAUUGGGCAGGAGAAAGAGGAUGUGGGAGUGCAUUUUCAGCGUUACUUGAAAAUAGUUCUGUUCCAAGGAAAUACAUUUCUGAAGAUGCCUUGGAGAUAAGCACAAGAGAACUAGGAAGGAAUGAGGAAAAGCAAUAUCGACGAAAGAAGAGAAAA